AAGUCGAGCGGGCGUAGCAAUACGUCAGCGGCAGACGGGUGAGUAACGCGUGGGAACGUACCUUUUGGUUCGGAACAACACAGGGAAACUUGUGCUAAUACCGGAUAAGCCCUUACGGGGAAAGAUUUAUCGCCGAAAGAUCGGCCCGCGUCUGAUUAGCUAGUUGGUGAGGUAAUGGCUCACCAAGGCGACGAUCAGUAGCUGGUCUGAGAGGAUGAUCAGCCACAUUGGGACUGAGACACGGCCCAAACUCCUACGGGAGGCAGCAGUGGGGAAUAUUGGACAAUGGGGGCAACCCUGAUCCAGCCAUGCCGCGUGAGUGAUGAAGGCCCUAGGGUUGUAAAGCUCUUUUGUGCGGGAAGAUAAUGACGGUACCGCAAGAAUAAGCCCCGGCUAACUUCGUGCCAGCAGCCGCGGUAAUACGAAGGGGGCUAGCGUUGCUCGGAAUCACUGGGCGUAAAGGGUGCGUAGGCGGGUCUUUAAGUCAGGGGUGAAAUCCUGGAGCUCAACUCCAGAACUGCCUUUGAUACUGAAGAUCUUGAGUUCGGGAGAGGUGAGUGGAACUGCGAGUGUAGAGGUGAAAUUCGUAGAUAUUCGCAAGAACACCAGUGGCGAAGGCGGCU
rnacentral:rRNA from 1 species